ensembl:snoRNA
UGGACCAUUAAUGAUGUCUGGGGCAUGUGAGUCACGGAUGAUGAGUAAUAUGUGUGUGGAACUCGGGGUCAAC